GACGAACCGAGCGAACGUUGUUCGGAAUCACUGGGCUUAAAGGGCGCGUAGGCGGGCUGCCGCGUCCGGGGUGAAAUCCCACGGCUCAACCGUGGAACGGCCCCGGGUACGGGCGGCCUCGAGGGGGGUAGGGGCGUGCGGAACUGUGGGUGGAGCGGUGAAAUGCGUUGAUAUCCACAGGAACUCCGGUGGCGAAGGCGGCACGCUGGACCAUCUCUGACGCUCAUGCACGAAAGCGUGGGGAGCAAACAGG
rnacentral:rRNA from 1 species